rnacentral:snoRNA from 1 species
GUGCAAGUGAUGUAAACAUUUUUUACCACUGAGUAAAGUGAUGUUUCCAAAGGAACCACUGAUGCAC